rnacentral:rRNA from 1 species
UACGCAUGGAGCUAGCGUUGUUCGGAAUCACUGGGCGUAAAGCGCACGUAGGCGGAUUUGCCAGUCAGGGGUGAAAUCCCGGGGCUCAACCUCGGAACUGCCUUUGAUACAGCAAGUCUUGAGUUCGAGAGAGGUGGGUGGAAUUCCUAGUGUAGAGGUGAAAUUCGUAGAUAUUAGGAAGAACACCGGUGGCGAAGGCGGCCCACUGGCUCGACACUGACGCUGAGGUGCGAAAGCGUGGGGAGCAAACGGG